ACAUGCAAGUCGAACGGAGCUUAAAGAGCUUGCUUUUAAGCUUAGUGGCGAACGGGUGAGUAACGCGUGAGUAACCUGCCCUAGAGUGGGGGACAACAGUUGGAAACGACUGCUAAUACCGCAUAAGCCCACGGUACCGCAUGAUACUGAGGGAAAAGGAUUUAUUCGCUUUAGGAUGGACUCGCGUCCAAUUAGCUAGUUGGUGAGGUAACGGCCCACCAAGGCGACGAUUGGUAGCCGGACUGAGAGGUUAACCCCCACACUGGUACUGAGACACGGACCAGACUCC
rnacentral:rRNA from 1 species